UGUUCUGGUCACAAGAAAGUCCCACCAGAAGAAGCUUUGCCCUUCUGUUCUGCUUGAAUCUUUAGCUGACAGCAGGAGCUGACUCUGUAGAAAGAGGUCACAGACAGAGGAGCCUGAUGCGCGCCCCCUGCUGGCUGAAGGGAGCAGCUUCCAGACCCAGGCCGUCCCAUUGGCGCCCCGUUACUGCUGCAUCACCAAGUUAACACAAGGAUAAGUAGCAGAGCCCGCCCCCAAGCGGGGGCGGAACUGACUGUAACAGGAGGAACCAAACAAGGACUUGAAGCUAACUGGGAUGUUCUGACAUUCUGAAC
rnacentral:lncRNA from 1 species